UGGGUUUUGGCUCAGUGGUAGACCACUUUUCUAACAUGUGCAGUGGGCUGGGUUUGAUCCCCAGAACCCCCA
rnacentral:tRNA from 1 species